AUUGAACGCUGGCGGCAGGCCUAACACAUGCAAGUCGAACGAGUGGCGGACGGGUGCGUAAUGUCUGGGAAACUGCCUGAUGGAGGGGGAUAACUACUGGAAACGGUAGCUAAUACCGCAUACCCUCAGAUGUUCCCAGAUGGGAUGAGCUAGUUUGUGGGGUAACGGCUCAACAAGGCGACGAUCCCUAGCUGGUCUGCGAGGAUGACCAGCCACACUGGAACUGAGACACGGUCCAGACUCCUACGGGAGGCAGCAGUGGGGAAUAUUGCACAAGGGGCGCAAGCCGGAUGCAGCCAUGCCGCGUGUAUGAAGAAGGCCUUCGGGUUGUAAAGUACUUUCAGCGGGGAGGCGGUACCCGCAGAAGAAGCACCGGCUAACUCCGUGCCAGCAGCCGCGGUAAUUC
rnacentral:rRNA from 1 species